AGAAAUCUGGGCGAGGGUGGAGGUGUGACAAGAGGGGGGUGAGGAGCGGGGUUCCCUCCCUCGGUCGGCUGUACCGGUCUCUCUCACAGCGUCUGACUCUCCUCUCCUCUCCUGCGUUUCCUCUGUUUUUCUUUUCUUUCGACACAAAAGUUGGGUUGUGAAUUUUCCGAAGUCGCCGCCUCUCCCGCCCCGCCCCCCCCCCCCCUCUCUUCUCUCCUACCUUAAUUAAAUACGUNNNNNNNNNNNNNNNNNNNNNUGCCUAACUAUAAUUAAAGUGCGUUUUUUGUGGCAUUAAUAAAGAGUUAUUUGUCCGCCGUUUCCACGGUCUUCACAAAGAGGACUUUCAUAGGGGCGGCCGCUCGAGCCGUGAGUCCAAUUUAUACAAAAAUGUUGUAUUUUUAGCCCUGGGCUCUGUUUAGAUGGUGCACGGUGGAAACGGAGAGCCCUUGGAGGUCCCCCCGUAAAAUCUGAUAAAUGACUCCGAAAAAAUAAAGCUGGGAUUCAGAGGGCUCCCAUUAACCCCUUCAGUGCUGUUCUACAUGCAUCCCUAAUUUCCCUUCCACCGCAGAGUCAAGAGUCCCGGUGGCUGAUGGACCAGCAGGCGUAGGCCUCCUCUCCUUUCCCCACCUUACGUGGGAGUUGGAUGCGGAACUCCAGGGGCCCUUGUGGGAUUCGGAGAAAAGGUCUCUGCGUUCACCUUCUGCCUCAGCUCUCUCGCGCCUGGGCUGCCUAUUUCAGUACCGCGGUCCUUCUGCUAACUCCCAUCAGCAUCUGGACAAGCACGCGUGCACACGCGCAUACAACACACCUCCCACGGUUAACCCAGAGGACCCCCCUCCCCAAAGAAAAACUUGACCUGUAUCAAAUUGCAAAAGCGAUUGUCUAGCACUUGAGGAGGUUAAUUACAGGUUAAUCACCCCAUUACCUACCUGGGUCUGGUCCCCGACGCGCCCACCCCCAUUAUCGCCAGCAGUGUGAGUUGUGCGGCGGCGUCUAACAACAAACACAUAUGCACUCUAUGGAUCGCACACUACUCCCAAGUUACUCUCCCCUGCUACACUGUCCCCACCCAGUAGGUAAACAGACCCUUUUCUCCGAAAGCUGAGACACUUCGGUCUCAGGCUUCUCAUUUUCCUUGAGUUACCUCCUUCCUCCCCCACCACAAAAUACACACACUUUCUCGGACCGUAGACCGCGGCAAUUGUACCUGGCGUGGCUGGUGACACGGCGGGAACACAGCCUGGGCCUUAAGGGGGCAAUUCUGUCUGCCACUGGCCCUCUCUUUUUCUCCCUGACUCUGUGUUGGGGUCCCAGUGACACUGACAAAGCCCGAGAAGUCGACGGUGACUGGGCCUGAAGCGCGAAGGAUGGGGAGCGGGGCGAAAGCGGCUCACGACUGGACACCCCC
rnacentral:lncRNA from 1 species